UCCCAAAGGCUCUCUGGAACAAGAUCAUUUUCAGAAGCCUCUAGAAAACCAACAGGGAGGAAGCAGAGGACUUCUUGGGGUGGUCCCCAGAAGGUUGCCUAGAAGGGAAUGCAGCCCUCCGUCACUUCAUGCAUGUCCAUGAAUUACAAAUGUCUGGCUAAGAGAUCUUAUAACGGAGCAUUUCAUCUAGGGGAGGUGCCAGUUAGAAAACCAGAGGAGCUUUUACUGUUGGUGCUCUUGUCCUUACCUUUUUCAGCUUACGGAUGAAGAGUGUUAAUAGAAGCCAGAAGAGUGUUGCUGCCACGCAGCUCCAUUCCUGACUGUUGGUCACCAUGUAUCCAAGGCAGGAUCUCUGCGUAGUGAUAACUAGCGUCAUAUUUGUUG